UGGGGAAUAUUGGGCAAUGGGCGCAAGCCUGACCCAGCAACGCCGCGUGAAGGAAGAAGGCUCUCGGGUUGUAAACUUCUUUUGUCAGGGACGAAGCAAGUGACGGUACCUGACGAAUAAGCCACGGCUAACUACGUGCCAGCAGCCGCGGUAAUACGUAGGUGGCAAGCGUUAUCCGGAUUUACUGGGUGUAAAGGGCGUGUAGGCGGGAUGUAAGUCAGAUGUGAAAACUAUGGGCUCAACCCAUAGCCUGCAUUUGAAACUAUCGUUCUUGAGUGCUGGAGAGGCAAUCGGAAUUCCGUGUGUAGCGGUGAAAUGCGUAGAUAUACGGAGGAACACCAGUGGCGAAGGCGGAUUGCUGGACACUAACUGACGCUGAGGCGCGAAAGCGUGGGGAGCAAACAGGAUUAGAUACCC
rnacentral:rRNA from 1 species